AGAGUUUGAUCCUGGCUCAGAGUGAACGCUGGCGGCGUGCCUAAUACAUGCAAGUCGAACGAUGAAGCUUCUAGCUUGCUAGAGUGCUGAUUAGUGGCGCACGGGUGAGUAACGCAUAGGUCAUGUGCCUCUUAGUUUGGGAUAGCCAUUGGAAACGAUGAUUAAUACCAGAUACUCCCUACGGGGGAAAGAUUUAUCGCUAAGAGAUCAGCCUAUGUCCUAUCAGCUUGUUGGUAAGGUAAUGGCUUACCAAGGCUAUGACGGGUAUCCGGCCUGAGAGGGUGAACGGACACACUGGAACUGAGACACGGUCCAGACUCCUACGGGAGGCAGCAGUAGGGAAUAUUGCUCAAUGGGGGAAACCCUGAAGCAGCAACGCCGCGUGGAGGAUGAAGGUUUUAGGAUUGUAAACUCCUUUUGUUAGAGAAGAUAAUGACGGUAUCUAACGAAUAAGCACCGGCUAACUCCGUGCCAGCAGCCGCGGUAAUACGGAGGGUGCAAGCGUUACUCGGAAUCACUGGGCGUAAAGAGCGCGUAGGCGGGAUAGUCAGUCAGGUGUGAAAUCCUAUGGCUUAACCAUAGAACUGCAUUUGAAACUACUAUUCUAGAGUGUGGGAGAGGUAGGUGGAAUUCUUGGUGUAGGGGUAAAAUCCGUAGAGAUCAAGAGGAAUACUCAUUGCGAAGGCGACCUGCUGGAACAUUACUGACGCUGAUUGCGCGAAAGCGUGGGGAGCAAACAGGAUUAGAUACCCUGGUAGUCCACGCCCUAAACGAUGGAUGCUAGUUGUUGGAGGGCUUAGUCUCUCCAGUAAUGCAGCUAACGCAUUAAGCAUCCCGCCUGGGGAGUACGGUCGCAAGAUUAAAACUCAAAGGAAUAGACGGGGACCCGCACAAGCGGUGGAGCAUGUGGUUUAAUUCGAAGAUACACGAAGAACCUUACCUAGGCUUGACAUUGAGAGAAUCCGCUAGAAAUAGUGGAGUGUCUGGCUUGCUAGACCUUGAAAACAGGUGCUGCACGGCUGUCGUCAGCUCGUGUCGUGAGAUGUUGGGUUAAGUCCCGCAACGAGCGCAACCCCCUUUCUUAGUUGCUAACAGGUCAUGCUGAGAACUCUAAGGAUACUGCCUCCGUAAGGAGGAGGAAGGUGGGGACGACGUCAAGUCAUCAUGGCCCUUACGCCUAGGGCUACACACGUGCUACAAUGGGGUGCACAAAGAGAAGCAAUACUGCGAAGUGGAGCCAAUCUUCAAAACGCCUCUCAGUUCGGAUUGUAGGCUGCAACUCGCCUGCAUGAAGCUGGAAUCGCUAGUAAUCGCAAAUCAGCCAUGUUGCGGUGAAUACGUUCCCGGGUCUUGUACUCACCGCCCGUCACACCAUGGGAGUUGUGUUUGCCUUAAGUCAGGAUGCUAAAUUGGCUACUGCCCACGGCACACACAGCGACUGGGGUGAAGUCGUAACAAGGUAACCGUAGGUGAACCUGCGGUUG
rnacentral:rRNA from 1 species